rnacentral:rRNA from 1 species
UACGGAGUAUGCAAGCGUUAUCCGGAAUGAUUGGGCGUAAAGCGUCCGCAGGUGGCAAUGUAAGUCUGCUGUUAAAGAGUCUAGCUCAACUAGAUAAAAGCAGUGGAAACUACAUAGCUAGAGUACGUUCGGGGCAGAGGGAAUUCCUGGUGUAGCGGUGAAAUGCGUAGAGAUCAGGAAGAACACCGGUGGCGAAGGCGCUCUGCUAGGCCGUAACUGACACUGAGGGACGAAAGCUAGGGGAGCGAAUGGG